rnacentral:rRNA from 1 species
GACGAACGCUGGCGGCGUGCUUAACACAUGCAAGUCGAACGGAAAGGCCCUGCUUUUGUGGGUUGCUCGAGUGGCGAACGGGUGAGUAACACGUGAGUAACCUGCCCUUGACUUUGGGAUAACUUCAGGAAACUGGGGCUAAUACCGGAUAGGAGCUCCUGCUGCAUGGUGGGGGUUGGAAAGUUUCGGCGGUUGGGGAUGGACUCGCGGCUUAUCAGCUUGUUGGUGGGGUAGUGGCUUACCAAGGCUUUGACGGGUAGCCGGCCUGAGAGGGUGACCGGCCACAUUGGGAAUGAGAUACGGCCCAGACUCCUACGGGAGGCAGCAGUGGGGAAUAUUGCACACUGGGCGGAAGCCUGAUGCAGCAACGCCGCGUGCGGGAUGAAGGCCGUCGGGUUGUAAACCGAUUUCGACUGUGACGAAGCGUGAGUGACGGUAAUGGGUAAAGAAGCACAGGCUAACUACGUG